rnacentral:rRNA from 1 species
UGGCUCAGGACGAACGCUGGCGGCGUGCUUAACACAUGCAAGUUGAACGGUAUGACAUGGAAGCUUGCUGAAGUGUCAUAUAGUAGCGGACGGGUGAGUAAUGCAUGAGAAGCUGCCAUUGGGAGGGGGACAACAGUUGGAAACGGCUGCUAAUACCCCGUAUGCCGGAAGGUGAAAGGGAGCGAUCCGCCCGAUGAGGUGCUCAUGUCCUAUCAGCUGGUUGGUGGGGUAACGGCCUACCAAGGCGACGACGGGUAGCCGGCCUGAGAGGGUGAACGGCCACACUGGAACUGAGAUACGGUCCAGACUCCUACGGGAGGCAGCAGUGGGGAAUAUUGGGCCAAUGGGGGCAACCCUGACCCAGCGACGCCGCGUGGGGGAAGACGGCCUUCGGGUUGUAAACCUCUUUUGUACGGGAAGAAGGAAGUGACGGUACUGUACGAAUAAGUCCCGGCUAACUACGUGCCAGCAGCGGC